UUAUGAACACCUGUAUAUCAUUUCUAUGGUUGAGUAUGACCCAGUACAAAUUAUUACAGAAUUUAAAUAUUACCUCGUGAAGACCAAGUUUGCUGCAAUGAUAAGGAAACUCAACAACUCAUUUUUAAUAUUAAUAUAGCAAACUUGCUUGCUGAUUGAUUCAAGAGAUUAGAGAUUCCUAAACCACAUUCAUUCAUUGCAGCAGACUUGCUAAUUGAUUCAAAAGGGAUGAAAAUCCUUUUUUCUUUUUGGGGUGC
rnacentral:lncRNA from 1 species